GGGCCCGCACAAGCGGUGGAGCAUGUGGUUUAAUUCGAUGCAACGCGAAGAACCUUACCUGGUCUUGACAUACACAGAAUCUUGUAGAGAUACGAGAGUGCCUUCGGGAAUUGUGAUACAGGUGCUGCAUGGCUGUCGUCAGCUCGUGUCGUGAGAUGUUGGGUUAAGUCCCGCAACGAGCGCAACCCUUGUCCUUAGUUACCAGCACUUCGGGUGGGAACUCUAAGGAUACUGCCAGUGACAAACUGGAGGAAGGCGGGGACGACGUCAAGUCAUCAUGGCCCUUACGACCAGGGCUACACACGUGCUACAAUGGUAGGUACAGAGGGCAGCUACACAGCGAUGUGAUGCGAAUCUCAAAAAGCCUAUCGUAGUCCAGAUUGGAGUCUGCAACUCGACUCCAUGAAGUAGGAAUCGCUAGUAAUCG
rnacentral:rRNA from 1 species